CAAUUUAAAUGCUCUCAUCAAACUGCACCUCUGUUCCUCGAUCAACCGUUGGCUGUAUAUGAAGUCUGUGAGACAUCAGGCAAUUUUUGUUUUCGCGGAACGUCGCGUGCUAUUCGCUAGCAGUUGAAGAACUUGACUUGUUCUCUUGGAUUCUUUUGUUAUCAAACAAUGUUCGAUGUGCUAAGUGUAUAAAUCACUCGAAACCCCAGCACGUAGGAAAUUUGUCGUCUUAUUGAUCCGACCACGAUGGUUUGCAAGCUGACUUCUUUGUUCCUUACGAUAUUAUCUGCUCGACUGAUACUCGCCCUAAAAAAUAAAGACAAUCUCUAUUACUGCCGAGGCAUAUCUGAGGACAAAGACACCUGCAUUUAUCCCAAGAUGUGCAGGUGUCCCAUGAUGAAUGCCGGAGGAUACAUAAGGUUGACUCUGUGGCACUACGACAACCACACCGGCCGGUGCCGUAAAAUCGUGGGAAGCAACGCAGAGGGAUAUUGCAACAUGUUUGAAAAGAAAGACGAUUGUCGAAAGUUCUGCAAGAAGCCCUUGAAAGAACAGCGUCCCAAACCGAAGAAGUAAAACAAUAACGCUGGCAGAAAGAAUGCUCCCGCGUUCAAUUCCGAACAUAAUUUCCACACGGCUCAUUCAACAAAACAACAAUGCAAUUACAUUUUUCGACCCGUAUAAAUUGUAUUCCAGCUUGCGUAAAAGCGAUAUUUGGCCGCUGGGCACAGCGCUCAAAGCCGACAUGGAUGAUCAAUUUACACGUUGCUUCUUGGUCAUUCAUUGUGCCUAUGCUAUAAACGAUUUCGACAGAUAUGA